GGGUCAGUAGGUUGGUCGUGCCACCGGUACGUACUGGUCUCACUGAUUCCUCCUUCCUGAAGAACCGUAAUGCCAUUAAUUUGGUGUUGCGUGGAAACAGGACUGUUACUUUGAAAAAAUUAGAGUGUUUAAAGCAAGCUAACGCUUGAAUACAUUAGCAUGGAAUAAUGAAAUAGGACGAUCGAUCCUAUUUUGUUGGUUUUUAGGAUUGACGUA
rnacentral:rRNA from 1 species